rnacentral:lncRNA from 13 species
CUUGUCCCUUGCGCGUGCGCCGCCGGCCGCGAGGCGGAGGCGGUGGGCGGUGGCAGCUGCGGAGGGGGCGCGCGUGCUCUCGCUCCCUCGCGCCGGCUCGCGCUCCCGCGUCGGGGCUGAGGCGGUGGCGGUAGCGGCUGCGACUGAGGCGGCGGCGGAGGCUGAGGCGGCGCGGGGGGAGGGCCGGGAGGGGGGUGGUUGUGGGGGAUGGACCGGGCGCGGCGGCCGCAGUGGAAGGAGCAGGCGCUUGAGCUCGAGCGACGGCGCUGGCGGAGACGCCGGCUGCUCCUCCCCUCCCCGCCGAGAUGGGGUUUUGCCAUGUUGUCCAGGCUGGUUUUGAAUCCUGAGCUCAAGCGAUCUGCCUGCCUCGGCCUCCCAAAGUGCUAGAAUUACAGGUAUUAAUCUCUGGAGAAGACAGAUCCACAGUUAGCACUUUCUUCAGAUGCUGACACUCUGUGAACAGUAGCUCUGGUGACAAGAUUUAGAAGACAGUGUCCAUCCUCCCAGAUUGGAUCUCUUUUUCAUAUGGAUCUUCUGUUUCUAUGUCUUUUUUAAAAAGAACUUUUGGGAAACCUUUUGGAUUACAACUGUUCAUCCUCAUCUAUGCAAAGAAAGGAAAGCUAUUGCUGGGAUUUUGAGGAGGUAUGUCUUUUUGUCUUCUGCAAAAUCACAUCACAUAGGCACUCAGAACAGUGUAAAAUAAUUACAUAUUCGGCUGGGUGCGGUGGUUCAAGCCUGUAAUCCCAGCACUUUGGGAGGCCGAGGCGGGUGGAUCAUGAGGCCAGGAGAUCAAGACCAUCCUGGUCAACAUGGUGAAACCCCGUCUCUACUAAAAAUACAAAAAAUUAGCUGGGCAUGGUGGCGCAUGCCUGUAGUCCCAGCCACUCAGGAGGCUGAGGCAGGAGAAUUGCCUCAACCCAGGAGGCAGAGGUUGCGGUGAGCUGAGAUCGCGCCAUUGCACUCCAGCCUGGGUAACAAGAGCGAAACUCCGUCUCAAAAAAAUAAAAUUACAUAUUCCUCUCUAGAACUCA